UUUUUUUUUUUUUUUUUUUGGUCUUUUGAGGGCUGCGCCCACGGCAUAUGGAGGUUCGCAGGCUAGGGGUCUAAUUGGAGCUGUAGCUGCUGGCCACAGCCAUAGUCACAGCAACGCCAGAUCCGAGCCGCAUCUGCAACCUACACUACAGCUCACAGCAAUGCUGGAUCCUUAACCCACUGAGCGAGGGAUUGAACCUGCAACCUCAUGCUUCCUAGUGGGAUUUGUUUCCCCUGCGCCACGACGGGAACUCCAGCAUCUCAAACUUUAACGUCCUAAACUGAGUUCCAACUUUAUCCCUCAACUUCAGCUGAUGGGUCUUCCUACAGGCUACACCUUUUUGACUGUGAUAACAGCGCACUUUGAAACGCUUAUGGCCAAAACUUAGAGAAAAAAAAAACAUUUACUUUUCUCUGUGGUUCAUUCCCUUGCUGUCUCUGUCUUCAAAUGACCAUAAUUUGCUUACAAAUAAUUAAGUAGAAGGAAGGGAGGGCAAGAAAGUAGAUGAUUAAGCAUGAGCCGACAACCUCUAAAGUGGGUCAUAGGGGUUCCUUAGACCAUUCCCUAUCUUUUUGUUCCUAUUUCCCAUUAUAAAAAGUUUAAAAAUACAUGCUCAAAUACAACUACUUCUUGCUAAUUCUAAGAUAACACCCUGAUCUGCCACCAUAUAAUAGCCUCAUUGAACUCCCUGCUCCUGCCUUUGAACUUCUUCAGUCUACACUCAACAUAGCAUUGACCUACUGAUUUCUUGUUUUGUUUUUUUCCACUGUACAGCAUGGGGACCAAGUUACACAUACAUGUAUACAUUCUUUUUCCUCCCAUUGAGCAUUGACAUACUAUUCAAACAGAAAUCAGAUCAUGGCACUCCUCAGCCCGAAACCCUCCAAUUCCAUUUAUGAUACUCUCAGUAAAAGCCAGGAUCAUCACAAAGGUCCAAUCGGGCCUCUACACUCUGGCCUCCCCUUGUUUUGUUGACCUGAUUGUCCGCUACUCUGCCCCUUACUCACCCUGCUCCAGCCCCAUGGAAUCCCUUGCUGGUCCUUGAGUGUCCCAAGCAUCCUUUCCACUUACUUUGUCUCUGACCUGAAUGCUCUUCUCCCAGAGAUCCACAGGUAUCAUUUCCUUCUGCUCUUUGGGGAAAUGUCACUAUCAAUGAGUCCUUCCCUGGCUACUCAAUUUACAUUGUCAAAUACUCACUCUCCUAUCCACCUCUCUCUUUUACUUUCUCCAUAGUGCUUAUCAUUAAUUAUCACUAAUUAAUAUUCCAUAAUUUACCUAUUGUCUUUCAUCCCAAUGUAAGCAACAUUAAUGCAAAAAUUUGUAUAAGUUUGUCCCCUGCUGUAUCUGUAGCAUCUAUAAAAAUGUACGGCCAUAGUCAGUGUUCAAUAAUAUUCAUUGAGUUAAAUAUAGGAAAAGAAAUAUUCCCCCAAAGGCUUAAACUAUGAUAACAGAAGUAAGACUGCAUAUUCAUGAUAAAAUAUUUAAAAAUAGGUUAAAUUCCUCUAUUAAAAAAAUCCCUCAUAAGCCAAGCAUAUGCUGAUUAUAUCAGACACAUAGAAUAAGGUGACAAAAACUUGCGCUAUUAUCCAUGAUACAGCACAGUAAGUAAUGAACUUAAUCUCCCUUAGUAAACAACCAGAACACUGGGCUGGAGUUCCUACUGUGGCUCAGUGGGUUAAGGAUCCAGUGUUGCUGUAAGCUGCGGUGUAGGUCGCAGAUAUGGCUCGGCAUUGCUGUGGCUUGGAUCCAUUGUCUCUGUGACUUUGGCAUAGGCCUGCAGCUGCAGCUCUGAUUUGACCCAUAGACUGGGAACUUCCAUAUGCCACAGGUGUGGCUAUAAAAAGAGAAGGAAAAAAAAAAAACUGUGCCAAAUAUAUGGAACAACUAUUUUCAGACGUUGGACAACAAGCAGUUCCAAACCACAAUCAGUGAGAAAAGGGGAACAAAUGAAGUGAGUCCUAAAAUUGCCACAAUUUUCUGCCUGAAGGUGAUUUCCAGACUGCAGGGGCAAUAAGAGGGAAUCCAAACAGUGCCUGGAUGCCUUGCUGAAGAGCAGAGAAAGAGGGUGGAGUUCAGGGAGGCUAGGUUAUGUGUGGCUAGUGGCUGCCACACUGGACACCACAGCUCUUGAUUCAUGGUGUAAAUGGAAACAAAUCCACUGGAAUUGGACAAGGAUUAUCUCUACCUGGUCAGAUUUUGCUAUAUUUUUACCUAUGUUUGCCAAAUUUUUCUAGAGUAAGUAUGAAUUCUCUUUGUAAUCUAUUUUUUAAAAGCUAAUUAAAAAUGUAUACAUUAAGUUCCUAAUACCCAAUUUGGACUUAUUUCACCAGAAAAUUUUUAGAAUUAAACUCUAAUAGUACAAAAACUGAAUUAGCACUUAAUCCUUAAAAGUAGUGUUUAUCUCAAAAAAAUUUCCAUGCCAACAGAAAUUAGCAAUGGAAAUCUCAUUUUAAUUUAAGGAAAUCAGUUGUAAGUUUUCACAUUAGAGUGAAAUCAGUAGUUGCUUUACAACAAUAAUAUUUUAUAUGCACUGUGAUGGAUCUAGAUAGGAUUUCUGGAAAGAAAUACAAGAAAAGACAUUCUAUCUCAGAGACAUAAUGGAUUUCUCUAACAAUAGAAGAUCGGUGAUAUGUUGAAACUUUCAAUCAUUUGUCUAAUUAUAUAUCAUAACUAAAAGGGAAGGAGUUUAGGCUGCAUAAAAUUUAAUAAAUACUUUAAUAAAGUAGCAAAUAAAAUUAGUUUAAUAGACCUAAACUGAGAUAAAUGAAAGAUUUUAUAUUAGAUUUUUUUAGAAAGUUGAGGGGAAAUAUUUCAAAUUCUUCCAAUCUGUCUAUGAUCUCCUUACAUUUCCUCCUUUAUACCAAUUUGCUUCAAUUUAGCAACAAUAAGGCCUCUUAAUGGGCCCCAUUAGUGCCGACAAUAUGCAGUCUGAAUAAUACAUUUGAGACAUCAGCAUUUUGGUAUUUAGGCUGUAGCUUAACUCUGAUUUUAAAAAGAAUGCCAAUGUCCCAUUCAUUUUAUUGUUUCACCUAUUGUUUGAAAAGAGAGUAGGGAAAAAAAUCCAUUAGCUCUUCUCAAAUGUCAGCAAACAUGGGUAACUCCAAAUGUUUGGAGCUGUCAAUCCACGUUACAUCACGUCUUUAAUUCAGCAGUCUGUUUAUCUUGGGCAUCGUUGCCAGCCAUGAGUUCAAACUCUUCACUAAUCUAAGUUUAAAUUCUACCUAGCACAUCCUUCACUGCUAAAAUUGUCCUCCAUUAAAAAAGUUAGCUAUGUCCAGGCAAAACAGGGAUGUGAUAAAAGGAAAUUAUAUGAUUAAAUUUGAAAAUAUCACCUUCAGAUGUGACAGAAGAGAUUAUAUCUUGGUGCAAAUUAUAUGUUUUUUAAAGUGCUGAGUAGCUCACAAUUUCAAGAGGAAACAAGACAUGCACAAUCAUACAUCUAGAGUAAAGUAAUAAAUGAUGUUAUGGCACUGUGUGGUGUAAGUCUUAAAAUUAAGGCCUGUUGUUAUUGCUGUCUUGACAUCUAAUAAAAUUGGGAGAGUCUCAAAUGGCCUAUAAGUUUUCUUUGUCAGUCCGGACAUGGCUCGGAUUGUCAGUGUCGAAAAAUGAGACACAUGAACACGGGGAGAUCUCGAAGGGCAUGGGCACUCCAAAAAGUGCAAGCGCUGAACAAAGGACCCUCCCCUAUUUAUCCCUAACUCAGGCGAUGUAUCUGUCCCCUUCCCAUUGGUCAGGUCAGGUUUCACACAUUCUUCCCAGUUGGCUAAUUUGAAACAAAUUGUUACUGGGAGAAGAGGGAAGGGGGAGGGGUGGGGGUCGCAGGACGGUGAAACCGGAGCAAAAUGCCAUAACCAAGAUUUCCUUUGAUAGAAAAGACAUUAUGUUACUUUUCAUAGUCCUCUCCUAGGGAAAAGGUCCUAUAGCCAAACAACCCUCCUUACAAGGGAUCAGAUACACUUUCUCAGUAGCAAGCUUCAGUUUCCUGUCAGCCUGCAAAAUUAUUCAAACAAGCCAAUCACAUCAUCUAGUGGAAACCAGGGGUGACCUCAUCCUCUUGACACUCCAAACCUGCCUCCCAAGGCCUCCAGGUGCUCAUUCUGUUCUUGAGUAUAAGUCCCAUGUGGUCCCCGCAUGGCAUGGUGUCCUGUCCCCUUGGCGUCAGCACUUGUGACUCAAAAAAUGCUGCCAGUCUCAUCUGUCCUGUCCAGUGCCAGGUGUCGGGUGCUCAACCCCAGGGCAGGAAUCUCUCCUUCAUCAACAAGGUGACCAGGAGGUGAUUCGAACAGGCUAUGUACCUUAAUAAUACCGUCAAGGAUGAGGUUUCAGAAAAAGGUUGUUAUGACUGCCUGGAAAGGUUUUGUAAAGUAGGUCAUUCUGGAUAGAAAAUGAGUUAAGAAUUUGGUUCUGCAUUGUGGCUUUGGUCAAAUAAGACCAAUAAGACUGAUUCUGGGAUUCUCUGCUGAAGGAGCAUAUAGGCAAGAAACGACAGCCAAAUAGUAAACAAAGUACCGAUUUCAUUAAGCGGACACAUUCCCAGUUCAACAAGGGAGUAAAAGUAGAUUACAAGUAAAAGGUGGAUUACAGAGACCGAUUUGGAGCAGGAAGCCACAGCGAGCCUCUUACUUCCUCUGCCCUCUCCUUUGAAUUCCUUGCCCUCUCCCAAAGACCUGCAUGAUAACCCAUGACUGGCCUAUCAACUCCAUUCAGUUGCAGGUAGAAAAGAGAGGGUUGCACUGGACAGGCCAACUGAGACAGACCCUGUCUGGUUUAUAAAAUUCCCGGAGACAGGACGUAUGAGAGGGGGCAAGGGUGUGCUCCAUCCCUGAACAGGGACCUUUAAUUCAGUGAUGCUGCCCUCUAGCCCCACGGUCCC
rnacentral:lncRNA from 1 species